UGCAUGUACAUAGGAUGCACCGAAAUGAAAAUUCUUGGGCGAAGCCGAACAAAAUUAAACACUGGGCCGAAGACUGAAUACCGAACAUGGUUUUUCAC